rnacentral:tRNA from 1 species
GCGGAGAUAGUUAAGUGUUUAUAACAUGCUUCUUCCUGAAGCAAGUCGUUGGUUUAAAUCCAGCUCUCCGCUCCA